rnacentral:lncRNA from 1 species
GGGCGGUGGUGGGCGGGGGGUUGGCGGUGGGGAGGCAGGAGGGGGGGGUGGGUCGGGAACGGAGGGUCAGGAGGGGAGAGCGGCGGGUGGAGAGCGGACAUUGAGGCAAGAUCGGUCAUCGAUGGGUCAAGAUCGGUCAUCGUUGGGUCAAGAUCGGUCAUCAAGGGGUCAAGAUCGGUCAUCAAGGGGUCAAGAUCGGUCAUCGAUGGGUCAAGAUCAGACAUUGACCCAAGAUCGGUCAUCGAUGGGUCAAGAUUGGUCAUCAUUGACCCAAGACCAGACAUUGAGGCAAGAUCGGUCAUUGAUGGGUCAAGAUCGGUCAUUGAUGGGUCAAGAUCGGUCAUCGUUGGGUCAAGAUCGGUCAUCGUUGGGUCAAGAUCGGACAUUGGCCCAAGAUCGGUCAUCGUUGGGUCAAGAUCGGUCAUCGUUGGGUCAAGAUCGGUCAUCGUUGGGUCAAGAUUGGACAUUGGCCCAAGAUCGGUCAUCGAUGGGUCAAGAUCGGUCAUCGUUGGGUCAAGAUCGGUCAUCGAUGGGUCAAGACCGGUCAUUGACCCAAGAUCGGUCAUUGAUGGGUCAAGAUCGAUCAUCGAUGGGUCAAGACCAGACAUUGGCCCAAGAUCGGUCAUCGAUGGGUCAAGACUGGACAUUGGCCCAAGAUCGGUCAUUGAUGGGUCAAGAUCGGUCAUCGAUGGGUCAAGACCGGACAUUGAUGGGUCAAGACCAGACAUUAACCCAAGAUCGGUCAUCGUUGGGUCAAGAUCGGACAUCAAUGGGUCAAGAUCGGUCAUCGAUGGGUCAAGAUCAGACAUUGACCCAAGAUCGGUCAUCGAUGGGUCAAGAUUGGUCAUCAUUGACCCAAGACCAGACAUUGAGGCAAGAUCAGUCAUUGAUGGGUCAAGAUCGGUCAUUGAUGGGUCAAGAUUGGUCAUCGUUGGGUCAAGAUCGGUCAUCGUUGGGUCAAGAUCGGUCAUUGGCCCAAGAUCGGUCAUCGAUGGGUCAAGAUCGGUCAUCAAGGGGUCAAGAUCGGUCAUCAAUGGGUCAAGAUCAGACAUUGACCCAAGAUCGGUCAUCGAUGAGUCAAGACCGGACAUUGAUGGGUCAAGACCAGACAUUAACCCAAGAUNNNNNNNNNNCCAGACAUUAACCCAAGAUCGGUCAUCGUUGGGUCAAGAUCGGACAUCAAUGGGUCAAGAUCGGUCAUCGAUGGGUCAAGAUCGGACACUGACCCAAGAUCGGUCAUCGAUGGGUCAAGAUUGGUCAUCAUUGACCCAAGACCAGACAUUGAGGCAAGAUCGGUCAUUGAUGGGUCAAGAUCGGUCAUNNNNNNNNNNUGUCCCCAAGGCCACCAGAGAUGAUCCCAAGGUCACCAGAGAUGCCCCCAAGGCCACCAGAGAUGUCUCCAAGGCCACCUGAAGUGUCCCCAAGGCCACCAGAGAUGUCCCCAAGGCCACCAGAGAUGAUCCCAAGGCCACCAGAGAUGAUCCCAAGGUCACCAGAGAUGUCCCCAAGACCACCAGAAAUGUCCUCAAGGUCACCUGAAGUGUCCCCGAGGCCACCAGAGAUGUCCCCAAGGCCACCAGAGAUGUCCCCGAGGCCACCAGAAGCUGGGGACCCCCUUGGGGACACCCCCGGGGACCCCCUGGGUGGCACCACAGGGGGGGGGUGUCCCCAAAUGUCCCCACAGGGGUCCCCAGAGGGGUCCCCGAUGUCCCC